CACCGGAGCAGCGGAGACGCUGCUGCCAUGUAAACCCUACCCGAUGCAACGUCUAUUGGUGCUUCAUAUCUUAACGCUUGCUCGGCGGAUAUGAAGUAAUGAUGGCUUGAGCCUGUCGGCGACGGCAGGCGUAGAUAAAUUGCUGCACACGACAGAACCCGGCUUAUCGGUCUGGUCAUAAU
rnacentral:RNase_P_RNA from 1 species